UGUAGCACUGCUGGGGGUUGUUGUGGCCCAAGGGCAGCCCCCGGCAUUUGGCCUUAUGGAAACUCCUACAGCUGGCCUCAGCCUGUCCAGGUCUCUCAACACUCCCACCCAACUUGCUGUCACCAUAUAAUAAUCUAAGACAGCAGUCAGAAAACUGGCACCAAACCGCAUAGUCUAGUGCCGCCAGCUUGUGGCCCAGCAGUGAACAGCGUUUUGGCACAGACACGAACCUCUGUCAACAGACAGUACUUCUAGAUAUAUUUUCAGGCAAUACGGAUCUCUGUCUGUCCAUCAUACCAGCCUGGGGGAGAGCUCACACAUCCAAGGUAUAAUUGAAAAUUGAUGAGAAGAGGGGAGGAGGGAAUCUGAAGGUGAGUUACACCAUUAUUUAAAUACUCCUCUCUGAAUUCAUCAAGGGAAAGCUCAUUUCAAAAUUAGCAUGUCAAAAGCUAUUAGUUAUUAAAUUAAAAUAUGGUAUGAAUUACAAAUGAGAUUUCCUUGCCAGUUUACCUUAGGCAUGUCCUCCCUGGGUGGCAGAAUGGAAGUACUACAAGAAUAAUGAAGUCUGAAGAAGAGGCCCAGAAAGCUAUCACAAUAAGCCUAGAGCUGUGCCUGAAGACAGAAAGGUGCUGUGAACCUUGCCCUAAGCACCAAACUGAAGCUGAGUAAGACUAAGCUUGAACCCUCCCGCCACAUGAGUUGUUGGUGAGAACAGGUUUCCUCUUGCGAGUAGAAGAGUAUAAUUCUAUUAUUUAAUUUUUGUAAAGGUACUAUAUGAAGUUAUGAUUAUUUUGUUUUGUUUUACAUCUUGAGUGGGAGCAAGUAAAUCUCAGAGAAGCCCAAGGGAAUUAAACACUUGGCCCCCAUCAGACUGAAAAGGAAGUCAUGUGCCUAAUCCUAUUAGUGCCUGUGAAAUUCCCAGACCUAAUAUUAGCUCCAGACAUUGCUCCACUGAGAUCCCUUUGAGAGUAAGAAAAAAAAACAUAUUGCUUUAGUGCAAUUUGUUCUCCCUAACCAUGUUAUCGCAUUGGAGUUAACAGCAAUAAUUUAUGUUCCAUUAUGU
rnacentral:lncRNA from 1 species